rnacentral:rRNA from 1 species
UACAGGGGUGCAAACGUUGCUCGGAAUCAUUGGGCGUAAAGCGCACGUAGGCGGUCUGUUAUGUCGGAUGUGAAAGCCCUUGGCUUAACUGAGGAAGUGCAUCCGAAACUGGCAGGCUAGAGUACUAAAGAGGGUCGCGGAGUUCCCGGUGGUAGAGGUGAAAUUCGUAGAUAUCGGAAGGAACACCGGUGGCGAAGGCGGCGACCUGGGUAGAUACUGACGCUGAGGUGCGAAAGCGUGGGGAGCAACAGG